rnacentral:ribozyme from 1 species
UGCCCAGCAACUCCUAUCCCUACCUCGUCGUGGUACGAGCAACCUUAGGGAAGAUUUGGUAACCAACCCCGGUGGGAACUUUGGUCGUAUGCUGACAGGGAAGA